UACAUGGGGUGCAAACGUUGUCCGGAUUUAUUGGGCGUAAAGCGCUCGCAGGCGGCCUGAUGCGUCGUGCGUGAAACACCCCGGCUCAACUGGGGAGGGUCGUGCGAUACGGUCAGGCUCGAGGCCAGUAGGGGGAUGCGGAAUUCCGGGUGUAGUGGUGGAAUGCGUAGAGAUCCGGAGGAACACCAGCGGCGAAGGCGGCAUCCUGGACUGGUUCUGACGCUCAGGAGCGAAAGCGUGGGGAGCGAUCCGG
rnacentral:rRNA from 1 species